rnacentral:lncRNA from 1 species
UAGGACAAAUGAGCCUGAAUCAGAAUAGAUCAAGCAACAGCAAGCAGACAAUUCCAAUUAUCUUGGAUGCUACUAAGGUCUACUUUCGAGUUGAGUGGUGAUGUGGAAACCACCGUAGGCAAACAAAAUGCAUGUAGGUUUUGGUUGACGUAGUUGGCAAUGCUUUGUUUGCUAAUUCGUGCUAUGGAUUUGGACUGCCCAAAACCAUGAUUUUUUUGUUUCUUUUUCUUCUUUACCAGGUAACAAGAGGAGAUGACUAGUUCAAUUUCUGAAUCUAAUUGUCUGAGACUCUUGGAACAGAUCAUCUAAUUGUGCCGUUGUGACAUCUGAGAUCACUCCGUGGUCUCGGAAAUCAGCAGCGUGUGUAGAUGGACAAGGUCCUACAUCCAGGCAGUUAAAUAUAAUGAGGUCCGCAACACUGCUAAACAUCCAUGGUUACAACCUAUUGAUCAGGGAUUAUCUAAUAGACGACGACACGAUUGAGGGUCUUUAAUGAAAAAAUUGAAUAAUCGCAGAUUUCAGAUAUAUAAAUUCACGGAAUUCAUGGUGGACCAGCCAAUCGGUUAAAACUAAAAGAAUAUGAUUAUAAGAAGGAAUUUGAUAUUGCUUUGACAUUUAUGUCCGCACUUUUUUUUUGUACUUUCAGGAGAAAAAAAAAAGUCACACGCCGAUCUA